rnacentral:rRNA from 1 species
GACAGAGGCCCCAAGCGUUAGGCGGAAUCACUGGGCUUAAAGCGCGUGUAGGUGGACGGGUAAGUAUCUUGUGAAAUCCCACGGCUCAACCGUGGAACUGCUGGAUAUACUGCUUGUCUUGAGGCACUUAGGGGCAGCUGGAACAAAUGGUGGAGCGGUGAAAUGCGUAGAUAUCGGAAGGAACAUCAGUGGCGAAAGCGACUUCCUGGACCAAUACUGACGCUCAUGUGCGAAAGCGUGGGGAGCAAACAGGG